GGAGCGCUGGGUGCCGGGGCCGUGCGGGGAUGGGGAGCGCUGGGUGCCGGUGCUGUGCGGGGAUGGGAGCGCUGGGUGCCGGGGCCGUGCGGGGAUGGGAGCGCUGGGUGCCGGGGCCGUGCGGGGAUGGGCAGCGCUGGGUGUCGGUGCUGUGCGGGGAUGGGAGCGCUGGGUGCCGGGGCCGUGCGGGGAUGGGGAGCGCGGGGCUGUAGCGGGCGGAGAUGGGGCCGGUCGCGCUCAGGUCGCUCGGUGUCACAGAAAGUUUGAGCCCCGGGGCGGUGUGUGACCCUCUCUGGACUCUGCUCCCCGCUUUCCCGGAUGGAAGCUUUGUCGUCUCCCUCAGAACCCUGGCUCUCCCUGCCUCGGCACGGAAUGACAAAGGAAGCAUCCUGCUUCCCCGGACUCCUCCGUGCCGGAGCGAGGGAAUGACUUCAGAGCUGUCACGGCUUCGUCAGCGAGGAUCGCCUAUACCUCAAACCCUGACAUGAGGUAAAGUGAUAAACAUCAUAAACUACAGUUCGCAUCCAACGUUUUAAAGCCAGAAUUCUGAAUCUUCUCAUGAGGGCACAGCCACUACUGAACAACCCCAGUAACCCUGUUUUCCAAGCUUUAUCCAUGUGCCAAAGUUAACCCUGCUUUUCAGAAAGAUGGCACCAACAGACAUUAGAAAUUCAAACAACCUUGAGCCAUUGUAUCCUACAAGGCAACUUUUCAAAAGGAUCAGCAUUUAUAAAGCUUCUAGAAUGGCUUCAGCUCUUGACUGACUUCAGAAAUUAAGGAACUUACAAAAAGAAAAAUCACAGCCUCAAGUCAACUACUCUUCAGCUUUGCUGCUUUGAACUUCAAUUUUCAUCUUGAUGACCAGAACCUAAUUGUUAAAUCAUUUUAUUAUUAGAGCUGGUUUGAAAA